rnacentral:lncRNA from 1 species
UUCUCACCACAUACUAAUUCCACUCUUCUAUUCCUUCACCCACCACACUUCAUUUUUCAUUUUCUAUAUCAGAAUAUAAUUCUUCAAAAACGUAAAUUUAAUCAUUUUGCAACAACCAAACUACAAAAACAAAGUUAUGAAUUUUUAUAAAACAAAAUAUCCUUACAAAUUACACGUAAAUUCUAAAAACUUACACCAAUU